rnacentral:tRNA from 1 species
GCCGGAAUAGCUCAGUUGGGAGAGCGUUAGACUGAAGAUGUUUACGCAACAAUCAUCUAUAGGCCCCCGGUUCAAUCCCGGGUUCCGGCA